UACGUAGGGGGCAAGCGUUGUCCGGAUUUAUUGGGCGUAAAGAGCGUGUAGGCGGUUCGGUAGGUCCGUUGUGAAAACUCGAGGCUCAACCUCGAGACGCCGAUGGAAACCCCCGAACUAGAGUCCGGAAGAGGAGAAUGGAAUUCCUGGUGUAGCGGUGAAAUGCGCAGAUAUCAGGAAGAACACCCGUGGCUAAGGCGGCUCUCUAGUACGGUACUGACGCUGAGACGCGAAAGCCAGGGGAGCGAACGGG
rnacentral:rRNA from 1 species